AUUGAACGCUGGCGGGAGGCCUAACACAUGCAAGUCGAACGAGCGGCGGACGGGUGAGUAAUGUAUGGGGACUGCCCGAUAGAGGGGGAUAACUACUGGAAACGGUGGCUAAUACCGCAUACUAUCGGAUAACCCAUAUGGGAUUAGCUAGUUGGUGGGGUAAAGGCUCACCUAGGCGACGAUCCCUAGCUGGUCUGAGAGGAUGACCAGCCACACUGGAACUGAGACACGGCCCAGACUCCGACGGAGGCAGCAGUGGGGAAUAUUGGACAAUGGGCGCAAGCCUGAUCCAGCCAUGCCGCGUGUAUGAUGAAGGCCUUCGGGUUGUAAAGUACUUUUGGCGGGGAAGCGUUAUCUGCAGAAUAAGCACCGGCUAACUACGUGCCAGCAGCCGCGGUAAUAC
rnacentral:rRNA from 1 species